CAACAACAACAACAACAACAACAUACCCAGUGAAAUCCCACAAAGUGGGGUCUGGGGUGGGUAAAGUGUACGCAGACCUUACCACUACCUCGUGGAGGUAGAGAGGCUGUUUCCGGUGGACCCUCGGCUCAAAUACAUCCAAACCAAGUAAGAGAAGAGGAAACAUUAUAUAAAACAUAACAUCCAAUAAGAAAAAUAGUGCAUACUCAACAACGAAGACAAUAACAUCAAGAAAAUACUGUGAGGGGCGAAGCGCAGUAAACGACAUAUGACUAUAUGAUCACAGACAAGAACUACAAGUGCCAGGCUAGGACUACUACAAACACUACCAACCCACACCCUCGCAAAGGAAGACAACACGCUAACCCUACUAACCUUCAACCUUAAUAAUGCCCAAACCAUCUCAGUCUCACUUCCCUCAGCUUUUCCACCACAGAGGCUACUCCCACCUUCUCCCGGAUAACCUCAUUCCUAAUCUUAUCGCUCCUAGUGUGCCCACACAUCCAUCUCAACAUCCUCAUCUCCGCAACAUGCAUUUUUGAACAUGUGAGUUCUUGACUGGCCAACACUCCGCUCCAUACAACAAGGCCGGUCUAACUACCA
rnacentral:lncRNA from 1 species